UCCCUGGUGGCUCAGAGAGUAAAGCGUCUGCCUGCAAUGCGGGAGACCUGGGUUCGAUUCCUGGGCUGGGAA
rfam:Ovis aries breed Texel chromosome 1, whole genome shotgun sequence.